AUUGAACGCUGGCGGAAUGCUUUACACAUGCAAGUCGAACGGCAGCACGGGUGCUUGCACCUGGUGGCGAGUGGCGAACGGGUGAGUAAUACAUCGGAACGUACCCAGUCGUGGGGGAUAACGUAGCGAAAGUUACGCUAAUACCGCAUACGUCCUGAGGGAGAAAGCGGGGGACCGUAAGGCCUCGCGCGAUUGGAGCGGCCGAUGGCGGAUUAGCUAGUUGGUGGGGUAAAGGCCUACCAAGGCGACGAUCCGUAGCGGGUCUGAGAGGACGGCCCGCCACACUGGAACUGAGACACGGUCCAGACUCCUACGGGAGGCAGCAGUGGGGAAUUUUGGACAAUGGGCGAAAGCCUGAUCCAGCCAUUCCGCGUGAGUGAAGAAGGCCUUCGGGUUGUAAAGCUCUUUCGGCAGGGAAGAAACGGCUUGGGAUAGUACCCCGGGCUAAUGACGGUACCUGAAGAAGAAGCACCGGCGAACUACGUGCCAGCCGCCGCAGUAA
rnacentral:rRNA from 1 species